GAUGUUCUGUUUGGGGACUGAGAACGUUUUAAUGGCAUAACACCUUGAGUAAUAUUGAUGUAUCAGGUUGCAAAUUGUGUUACUUAUUAAUAAACAAACUUGUGUUCUGAUAUGAGCAGUGAAUGUUUUCAGGUGAUGGUAAGAGCUGAUGGAUGAACAAGAGCAUCUCUCUCUCUCUCUCUCUCUCUCUCUCUCUCUCUCUCUCUCUCUCUCUCUCUCUCUCUCUCCCCCUGUCUGUAGGAGACUCGUCUCUAGUGGGAACAGGAACUGGCUCCAGAAAUAACUUCUGCAGUACUUCAAAUGUUUUCCUGAGUUCAGGAGGGUUGCUCAAGUUCAGUCCAUAUAUCAGUCCCAGCAACAUGGUUUUGCAUAGUGUAAUCUGCUAAGGUCCUGAAGAACUUUAUCUUCCAACACUCCAACAUUUCUGUUGCAUUGCAGCCUACUUUUCUACAUGUUUGGUCUUAAGUGUCUCUGCCUCUACUUCUACAAUCAUUGCUACUGUCUACAAACCACCUAAAAUUAAGUCACAUGCAGCUUUUAUGUCUGAUUUUGCUGAAUUUUUGACAAUGUUGACCCCAAAGCUCAAUAGAAUCCAUAUUGUGGGGGACUUCAAUAUUCAUGUGGACCAAAGUGACUCUGUAAUGGCAAAGAAAUUUAUAUCAUUACAUAGGGCAUUCUAAGUCAAUCUACUGCAGUAUUUCCUAUCUCAAUCAGCAGAAAAUGUAGUUAACACCUGGUCAUGCAUGAAAAAAAAGAAAAAGAAAAAAGAAAACCUUUAUAUACUGUGAAACCAGUAUAAUUUUGAAAAAUACUGUGGGAUAAAUUUUUGGUCAUACCAACCAGUGCUACUGUUUAGCUCCCGCCCACUGAUUCUGCAGCACUGCCUGUUUAGCCCUGCCCACCGAUUCUACGUCGAUGUCUGUUCAGCCCCACCCACCGAAUCUACUUACUAUCUGUUAGCCCCGCCCACUGAUUCUACAUCGCCGCCUGUUUAGUUUAUGAUAAAAAUUGGGGUUACACAAUUCUUGAGGCAUCUAAAAUUAGAUGGCUUUUUCUCAAUGUGGAUUAAUAGAGACUGUUGGCCUAAUUCUGCCCUUCAUGCAUUAUCAGGUGUGUUUCUCUGUACUCUAAGGAUGCUUUUACAAAACUCUGCAUGCAGGGCUUCAGUUGGAUUUAGUGCAUAUAGUGAUGUAUAGUAUACACUGUAAAAAUGCUACAAUAA
rnacentral:lncRNA from 12 species